UCCAAUUCUGGGGAAAAGAGAUAUUGAUAAGCUGGAAGGUGUCCAGAGGUUAAUUCUAAAUUAUGCUGAGUGGCUCCACUUUCAGUCUUCAGGAGCCCCCAGUGGCACAAUGGGUUAAACCCUUGAGCUGACAGGACUGCUGACUGAAAGAUUGGAGGUUCAAAUCCAGGGAGUGGGGUCAGGUCCCAUCUGUCAGCUCCAGCUUCCCAUGUGGGGACAUGAGAGAAGAUCCCACAGGAUGGUAAAACAUCAAACAUUCAGGCGUCCCCCGGGCAACAUCCUUGCAGAUGGCCAAUUCUCUCACACCAUAAGCCACUUGCACUUUCUCAAGUCACUCCUGAGAUGAAAAAAAAGUCUUCAGAUGUUUGAUAAAAAGGGAGAACAAGGUUUGUGCUUGUACAACUCUGCAAGGAUAGGAUCAGUAACUCUGAUUAAUAACUUUGUCACAAUCAUAAUUAUCAAGAGCUAAAUUCUAGAACUUGUUUUUUCAAAACCAGAUGAGAGUGGUUCAGAAGCUAGUAUGAAUCCACUCCUUUUCUUUGAAUCUGGUAAAUACAGAAACUGCAGAAACAUGAAACCAUGUUUACUACAGAAACAUGAAACCAUGAAACCGUGAAUAAUAGUGAAACCUAUUGAAAUAAAUAACUUCCAGUGGAAGCAUAACAUUGUCCUGGAUGACCUGGAAAAUGCCUAGAGAGAACAUUUCCCAUGGCAUGACUCCAUGGUCAACUUUUGGAGGAAGCAAAUUGCACUGGAAAACCAGAAAAUGCCUAGAGGGAACAUUUCUUUUCAAAUUUGGUUGGGAUUACCAAGAAGAUUCAGGCUUCCAUGCAGAGCAAUAGUAAGUGUUGGAUUUCCUUUGCUGUUACUGAAAGCAAGAUAGUGUGUACAAGCACAGUGACUUUAGUGGAUUUGAUUACACUAUGUAACAAAAAAAUUCAAAGAUUUUCUGUUCCUGGUUUGAAAGUGUUAUUUCCUGUUUAAUUGUGCGGCACUUACUUUAAAAGUAAUUGUUAUACUCCAGAAAAUUUGUUUUUGUGGCUGCCACAAUUAUAUUAUAAUAUUUACAUAUUCUAAUAUUUCCCUAAU
rnacentral:lncRNA from 1 species